ACAGAACUCUCCGGAGGGAAGAUAUAUAAACCUAGUGCCGGACGGGUGAGUAACGCGUGGGCAACCUGCCCUGUACCGGGGGACAACAGCCAGAAAUGGCUGCUAAUACCGCAUAAGCCUGCUGUGCCGCAUGGCACAGCAGGGAAAACCACGGUGGUACAGGAUGGGCCCGCGUCUGAUUAGUUAGUUGGCAGGGUAACGGCCUACCAAGACAACGAUCAGUAGCCGGCUUGAGAGAGUGGACGGCCACAUUGGGACUGAGACACGGCCCAGACUCCUGCGGGAGGCAGCAGUGGGGAAUAUUGCACAAUGGGGGGAACCCUGAUGCAGCAAUGCCGCGUGGGUGAAGAAGCACUCCGGUGCGUAAAGCCCUGUCAGCAGGGAAGAAAAUGACAGUACCUGGACAAGAAGCCCCGGCUAACUACGUGCCAGCAGCCGCGGUAAUACGUAGGGGGCAAGCGUUAUCCGGAUUUACUGGGUGUGAAGGGAGCGCAGGCGGCGUGGCAAGUCAGAUGUGAAAACCCGGGGCCCAACCCCGGGAGUGCAUUUGAAACUGCCAUGCUGGAGUGCCGGAGAGGUAAGCGGAAUUCCUAGUGUAGCGGUGAAAUG
rnacentral:rRNA from 1 species